AUUGCUCCCUUGGAAACCCGUCCAACCUGUGCUGUGAACAUGCCUGGGCCAGCCUCCCAGAGGAGGUGAGAAUGCAAAGCAGAAGGAGCCGUUCCCGCUGACACCAUCGGGACCAGCUAGUGCCCAGAUGAGCCAGCAGCUCGCUCCAGAUGCAGGGGUGAGGCCCAUUUGAGGCCAGCUGAGCCCAAUCCAGAUCCAAAGAACCAUUCAGACCAUCCACAGACUUGAGUCUCCAGUGCCAACAGGGAUCUCCAGGGCAGCAGCAGGAAGUCCGGUCUAGCUGGCUCUGACCUCAGUGGCCAGCUGAGGAAAAUGCCAAAAAAAGGUUGAACAUUUCCCAAAGGAACACUGAGGCACAGAGGGAAACCCCAGUCAUGGAGAAACCGGUACGGUGAGAAUAUGGUAUAAAAGAUAAAAAGUGUCCACGUCUAUGGAGCACUUACCAUGAAUGGAGCUUACAGGACUGGAAGUUGCUCUGGCUUAUUCAAGAAAAAUGACUUUAGCUUGGCAUGUGAGAAAGGUCAGGACAUUACACUGUUGGAAAUGUCUAUGUGCUUGAAAAGAACCGAAAGUCCUCUGAAUAUGUAGCUCCCCCAGCCUCUUCACAGUGGGGUGUUUCACCCAUUUCGUGGAGUCCAGAUUCUGGAGCUGGGAAGUUCAAGGCUGAGGAGCUGCAUCUGGUGAGGGCCUUCUUGCUGGUGGCCUUCUUCUGCAGUCCUGAGGUGCUGCAGGGGAUCUUGUGGCGGAGAAACCGUGGAAGGAUCUUGGAAGGCCAACUAAGAUCUUGCUUGGCCCGCAGGAUCUGGUGCUGUGGCCCGGCCCACCUCACAGCCUCACCCGGUUCUACUCUCUGGCUUGGAGAGACCCCACCACGAUGGCCUCCCUCCAGCCUCCGCAUAGACCCUCGGAUGUGCUAUUCCCUCUCUCUGGAAGGCUUUUGCUCCCUUACCCCAUCAGCUUCUCAUCAUCAUGUAUGUCUUGGCUCCUAGCCCCUUUUCCUCUGAGAAGCGGUCCCCAAAUCCCAGGCAGGGUCCUAUCACCUGGUAACACCCCUCUCAGGGACAGUGUAUUUGCUAUCUGCUCCAGGAGGGAGGAACCUCUUCUAAUGUGGGCACCAAGUGCCGUGCCUGGUGCAUAAUUGGCUUUCAGUAAACAUUUGUGGAGAGAGCAAAUGUGCUUGUGAAUCCAUCACAUCACAGAAGGUGGGGCCAGAGCCAGGGUGGAGGUGGAGUAGAGGAACUCUGGGGCUGGCUGCUGAGGAAGGUUCUCUCUGAUGGUGCAGCAAUAGCAGGUCAAGCCCAGGGUCAAGAUAAGGAGCCAAAUGUCCCAAAGGUGGUAGGUGGUCAGCGAUGGGGCCAGCUGGAUGUUGCCAGUGGGUAACACUCCUGCUCUGCCAGGUCUGAGGCUCAGAGUUCCCAAAGGAGCAAGCAAGUUCCUAGGAGAGGAAGAGGAGAACCAGACCAGGCAUCCGGUCAGGAACAAGGGACCCAACCAAAUGAGAUGGGAGACCUGGGGCUGGGGUGUGGGCGGUUGCUCUGGAUAAUGACAGAAUGAAUGUGCAGAGGCCUGGCCAUCAGCCAGGGUCCUGCACUGGAGAUGUCCCAUGGAGAGGGCAGGGCCGAGGCCCAGCAAGGCUAAUACAAUUCUCUCUCCAGUGUCUGGAGCCAGCUUAGACCACAGAAGGUAUAGACCAUGACACUGACCGAACUAAGUCCUACGGUGUCCGUUGGGCCAGGAAAGGUUGUUUAAGGGAGGAACAGGACAAUCUCUGCAAACAAAAAAGUUUCACGUUUUUGGCCUAAGGCCAGAGGGAAAAGCAAAGUUCACCAACAACAGCCCCAUGAUCCCUCCCCACUUCCCACCCGAAGUGAGAGGCAGGGUGAAGCCCAGCAAAGCUUUCUGCACUGUGUGACUGCAGGGGGCAAAGGAUAUUCAUGGAGAAAAGAAAGAAAAACCCCAACAGGGAUUUUCUUCAGUGCAUGGAACUGGUUUUGUCUUAUUUUGUUUUUUAGAGUUUCCUGCAACUUUCUAUUUUUUUUCUAUACAUGAAUGCCAAUUAUUUUUACACUUUUACCAAAGACAAAACCCUUUUCAAGGAUUCUGUACGCAUCCCCUGAGAGUACUGGUUCUAAACCUUGACUACAUGUUAAAAUCACCUAGGGAACUUUAAAUCUGCCGAUGCCUGGGUCCCACCAUGAGGUGAUUCAGAUUUUAGUGCUUGGCAGUGUGGCCUGCCCAGGUGAUUAUAAUGUGCAGAUUGAGAGCCACCGCCCUAAAAUGAGUAUGCAUUAGAGAGGUCGAAUAAAAGACAUGCUCUUACCAAACAUCCAUAACCAGGAAGGCCAUGUUCAGUUGCAUGAGCUGCAUACUGCAUACCUCCAGGGGACACCAUUUGCAUAGCCUAUAACAUAAAAGUGCCUCCCUGGAGUUAUGCAAUGUGGCAGCCUUGUAAGUAUGGAUAUAUAAAUUACAUAUUCGUAAAUACAUAAUUUAAACAUUGAUUGCAUCUGUUCACUAUAAUUCUCAGUGGGAGAGAUGGAAAUGAUGUUCACUAGGAUAUACAGAGUAUUUUAGAAGACUUAGUUUAUAUCAUCUGGGAUUUUAAAAUCUGGUGAAUCAUUCUCAAAGAAGAUGAUUAUAAAUUUAAAAAAAUAAAUAAAUAAUAAAAUCUGAUGAAGGCUAAGAUAACAAUAAAAACACUGAAAGCCAAGGUGACCAUGUCAGUCUAGAACCAUUGGUUGCACUGGACAGAGAAGACUGAGAGAGAGGAUGCGUCUGAGAGGGCUGGGAUGUGUGCAGAAUCACAAGUUUGGAUGGGAAGUCUCCAGCAGGCAGUCCGUGGAGGUGUGGCUUGUGGGAGAAUUGUUGGAGCAAUGGGAGGGUCAUGUGGAGUAUUUUCCCUCUGCCAUGAAGCCUUCCUGUUUCUGCCACUGCUGUCAUUCAGAGAUUGAAUCGAAUUCCCUGCUUUUGGACCUGAGGUGACCCUUGGCUUCUUUUGAUGAGUAGAAUGCAGUGCAAGUGAUGCUAUGUAAAUAUCACGGUUUCAGUCAUUUCAACUUCUGUCUUUACUUCUUUAAUGGCUCCUUCUUGGACCCUCACUGCCAUUCUGUGAGGAAGCCCAAGCAGCCAAGUGGAGAGGCCCACACAGAGAGGAACCAAGGCUGCCAAUCAACAGCUCCACAGAUCUCCAGCCAGUAGCCUGGUGGAGCCACGUGAGUGAGGCCAUUCUGUAACCUUCUAGCCAUCCCAGGGUCCCAGCUAACACUAGGCGAAGCAAAGGAACCACCUGGUCAACCCACAGAAUGGAGAGAAAUGAUACAUUUUUGUUGUUUUGAGUCAUCAAGUUUCAGGGUAUUUUGUGACUCAGAAAUAGGUGGCUGAAGCAGGGCCACUUCUGCUCUGCAGGUGGGCACAGGCCAGUCUGCUGGAAGGGUAUGUGGGUUGAACUGGCUCUGAGGCCUUUUGAGGUUAGACGUGCUGGAAGAUCCUAAUAGGGAAAGGUUUCUUUACAAAAAUUAUACUUAUCGAAGUUAUAUAUAUACACACACAGACACGUGUGUGUGUGUGUGUGUGUGUGUGUUAUAUAGUGGCAACAACUCAGUUACAUCAGAAAGGCUUACAAUGAAAAGCAAUCGUGUCUCUCCUGCUGUACUUGCCCCAGUUCACUCCCAGUCCUACUCCCCCAAGACAACAUCUUUUGCCAGUUGCUGUUUAUGGAUUUUCUCCAUACUCCAAAUCACAUACUUAUACCUCCAUCCCUCAGUUACCAUCUUUAGACAACAGCUAUUCACUCCCCAAUAUCUAAGAUGAGCAUUUAGCUCACUACUCCCAAUAUCUGAACUUUCAUGACUAUUUUUGACUCCUGCAUGAGCAUUUCCUCUUCUGACAGCAGUUGCUGAUUCCCAGCUCUGUAAGAUGAGGACAUCAGCGCCCCUCCCCUUCUUUCUGCUUCCCUUCAAUCACCCAUGUUUUGUGCCUCUGCUUCUACUACUUCAUAGCACUGCGGUGUUUAAUCUCAGGUGCCUGGGCUUCCUGGGAUAGCAGCCAUGAGUUCCUUAAAAUUAAGUGUAAAAUUGUGUGUGUGUAUUUAUGAUCCAUUUCCUGGGGAGAGUCCAGAGCUUUCAUCAGAUACUCCCAGAGGGGUCAAGCUCGGGUGCUGUAUGGGACUCCGUACUGAGGUCUUCCGUCCACCACCAGAGCCACCCUUAUCCUUCUUCAGACUUCUGGCUGGGUGUGGCCAAUGGGGGGCCCGGGCAGGAGUAGAGGGAAGGGGACGAGGAGAGUGAGGAAAGGCAUUUGUUUACUCCUGUGACUCCGUCUCUGCUGGGUCAUCUCGGGCUGGCUGAGUCUCAGCUGAAGGACCUUACUCUGCCAAUGGUUACCUUUUCAACACGGCUAUCUCCUUUGGUAAAGGCUUAAUUGUUCCUAGCCCCAGGUCACUGCAUCAUUCUUGGUGGUCUUACUACACCCUGCCCAUACCUUUGUAAACAGUCCUUUUAAUAAGUCAUCUGGAAUUCUCUUAAUUUGAUUGUGACAUUUGUUUCCUGUUGGGACUCUGUAAUGACCAUGUUCCUCAGACACAAACUCUGAGACAGAGAUUAUGUGCAGCAAGUUUUCGGACAGUGCUCUUGGGCAGAGGGAGGAGUUGAACUGCGAUGUUGUCACCAUGAGGGCUGGAGCUGGCCCUGUGGGAGAUCUGAAGCUGGGAUAGUCUUUGGAGUUAUUCCAGUCCAGGCAAGGGGGCCCAAAUGACCAGACACUGGAUACCAGGAGGGGACAUAAGCUUGGUCAAAGUGGGUCUCUUCAGGUGAAGGCAGUUCUCAGGAAGGGCCCCCUGGCAGCAGUGACAGCCUGGCCUCUAGGGCAAGGAGAGCCUGGGUCUCAAAGCGGGAGGGAUUAGGGGUUAUGGGGAGGCCCCUGGAAUGCACUGCAGACCCAACCUUGGUCUGAUUGCUAGGCCGGACCUUUUGUUCCCUGCAUCCUGACACCUAGCACAGUGUCCCACACAGAGUAGGAGCUCAGCCAAUAUUUGUUGAAUGAAUGAAUGGAGUAACAACAAACUUCUUUAAUUGAUUAAAAUUCAUAAAACUCAGAGCGCUUAUGUA